GAGACAGAGCACAAAGGAGAGAAAAAAGCAAGAGUGGUUGAGACGCCUAGGGUGGGGGGAGGGGAGCACAAGCCCACAGAUUAAGUUGACCCAAGUCAAUACAGAGGCUUUGUGCAAGGGCCCUGGCAUUAACGGGAUUGGGGCUGCGACAGCCCUGCGAAUCAAGUACAGAACAUAACCAUAGAGGCCGGAGCUAUUUUUGAAACGGAUGUCUUCAGUAACAUGAAGCUUAACUAACGGGGACAUCCAGGGCAUUCUGCGUGACUGCUGCCGGCUGGUGGCCCGGCUGGGAACCAGAGCCGCCCCACUAGCAGCAGCCUCCCACCUGGUUCGGGACCCUUGAGGUUUUCUGGUCUCCACGGGGACUGAAGUUGAACUCAGAUAUACAUAGGAGAAGAAGGAACUUAAGUCCUGAAACCAGAGGAUGGCUUCUUGGCUACUCCAGCAGAAAUUAAAUGAGCCAUCCCCAAAAGCGCAAGAAAAUGCCCCAGAAAAGGAGGAUACUGACGAUACAGGAUUAGACUCAGUCCUACAUACAGAAACACCCAUGGGCUGCAUGAUCACGCAUAAACUCUGAGCAAAAUGCGUGGGUAUCAAGGGUCAGGCACCCCUCCUUUGUCUAGUUCUGCUGUGGACAGUCUGACAGCAAAAGCGAGGCGCUUUCAGGCCCCUCUCCCCUUCCGCUGGACGCAGCUCCAAAGAGGCCUUCCUUCAUUGGCAUCCAUUCUCAAAAGCAGACAUGGUGAUUUCGGCAGGGGUGUCACGCUCGCUCCUGACAGAUGGGCCUCCUCCGACAGCUGUCUUCUCCAAACAGAGAGCUGGACCCCCACGACUUCCCCAGCAUCCCUCCUCCUCCUCCCGCCUCCAGUGUCAGCCCAGGGAGGUUGUCUGGGACUGAGGAAGACAUGGCUUCCCUGAGCCAUGCCACCUGCUCUCGGUGAAAGGUCCACACGGCAACAGAAACCCGGCUCAGCAGCCUAUUGAUCAUCACCUAUAAAUCUAGCUACUCAUAAAAAGGUUCCAUGAAAUACAAUCCAGGGACAUAAAUCUCUCUAAGGGAGAUGAAAUCUGAUGGGAAAUAAAAUGCCCUCAUUUCAUUUA